AAGAAAAGACACUAGUGCUUGGAAAGAUAAAGAAAUGCAUUUUGUCAUUCAAGUGCAUUGGAAAAGUGUCGGCUAGAGUGUACGAGUUGUAGGAAAAGUAAUGUUAGUUCUUAGCAUCGAUCGAGAUGGUAAUGGAUUCAUUGUUUUAUUAACCAAUUAGCUGGGAUGCAUUUUUAUUUAUUAGACAAUAUCUCGAUUGAUGUUGCUACCUAGCAUUAUUACAUGUAGACAAAGGGACUAUAUAUAAUGCAAAGUGUUAUAUACAUUGAACUGAAUGCCUUUAAUUGUGGGACUCAUUAUGUGUGCAUUUGACCCAAGUUUUAUAUUUUUCCUAUAUAAAUAACACGUGGGGUAUGAACCCAUGUCAUUUUGUUUUAUUUCAUUUUCAAAUUCUAAAUCAGAUCUUAGUAAACUUAAAUUGGUGAAGUGCUUGUGCGUGUGACAUAAAUAUGUCAUCAUUAUUUA
rnacentral:lncRNA from 1 species